UGGGGAAUAUUGGACAAUGGGGGGAACCCUGAUCCAGCCAUGCCGCGUGUGUGAAGAAGGCCUUAUGGUUGUAAAGCACUUUAAGCGAGGAGGAGGGUACUGGUAUUAAUACUACCAGCUACUGGACGUUACUCGCAGAAUAAGCACCGGCUAACUCUGUGCCAGCAGCCGCGGUAAUACAGAGGGUGCGAGCGUUAAUCGGAUUUACUGGGCGUAAGGCGUGCGUAGGCGGCUAAUUGAGUCGGAUGUGAAAUCCCCGAGCUUAACUUGGGAAUUGCAUUCGAUACUGGUUAGCUAGAGUGUGGGAGAGGAUGGUAGAAUUCCAGGUGUAGCGGUGAAAUGCGUAGAGAUCUGGAGGAAUACCGAUGGCGAAGGCAGCCAUCUGGCCUAACACUGACGCUGAGGUACGAAAGCAUGGGGAGCAACCAGG
rnacentral:rRNA from 1 species